UAGCUAGUUGGUGGGGUAAGGGCCUACCAAGGCGACGAUCGGUAGCUGGUNUGAGAGGAUGACCAGCCACACUGGAACUGAGACACGGUCCAGACUCCUACGGGAGGCAGCAGUGGGGAAUAUUGGACAAUGGGGGCAACCCUGAUCCAGCAAUGCCGCGUGUGUGAAGAAGGCCUGAGGGUUGUAAAGCACUUUCAGUGGGGAGGAGGGUUGAUAGGUUAAGAGCUGAUUAACUGGACGUUACCCACAGAAGAAGCACCGGCUAACUCCGUGCCAGCAGCCGCGGUAAUACGGAGGGUGCGAGCGUUAAUCGGAAUUACUGGGCGUAAAGGGUGCGUAGGUGGUUGGUUAAGUUAUCUGUGAAAUUCCUGGGCUUAACCUGGGACGGUCAGAUAAUACUGGUUGACUCGAGUAUGGGAGAGGGUAGUGGAAUUUCCGGUAUAGCGGUGAAAUGCGUAGAGAUCGGAAGGGACACCAGUGGCGAAGGCGGCUACCUGGCCUAAUACUGACACUGAGGCACGAAAGCGUGGGGAGCAAACAGGAUUAGAUACCCUGGUAGUCCACGCUGUAAACGAUGUCAACUAGCUGUUGGUUAUAUGAAAAUAAUUAGUGGCGC
rnacentral:rRNA from 1 species